CACGGGAGCAAUCCUGGUGGCGAGUGGCGAACGGGUGAGUAAUGUAUCGGAACGUACCUUCAGUGGGGAUAACGUAGCGAAAGUUACGCUAAUACCGCAUAUUCUGUGAGCAGGAAAGCAGGGGGAUCGCAAGACCUUGCGCUGAUUGAGCGGCCGAUAUCAGAUUAGCUAGUUGGUGAGGUAAAGGCUCACCAAGGCGACGAUCUGUAGCGGGUCUGAGAGGAUGAUCCGCCACACUGGAACUGAGACACGGUCCAGACUCCUACGGGAGGCAGCAGUGGGGAAUUUUGGACAAUGGGCGCAAGCCUGAUCCAGCCAUGCCGCGUGAGUGAAGAAGGCCUUCGGGUUGUAAAGCUCUUUCAGCCGGGAAGAAAACGCAUGGGUUAAUACCCUGUGUGGAUGACGGUACCGGAAUAAGAAGCACCGGCUAACUACGUG
rnacentral:rRNA from 1 species